rnacentral:rRNA from 1 species
GACGAACGCUGGCGGUGCGCCUAAUGCAUGCAAGUCGAACGGUGAACCCGGUUCGCCGGGGGAUCAGUGGCGAACGGCUGAGUAACGCGUAAGUAACCUACCCCCGGGUGGGGAAUAACCCCGCGAAAGCGGGGCUAUUACCGCAUAGUCUGUCCUGCCAUAAGGCAGGCCAUUAAAGGUGCCUCUUAGGAGGUGCCGCCAGGGGAUGGACUUGCGUCCUAUCAGGUAGUUGGUAGGGUAACGGCCUACCAAGCCGAUGACGGGUAGCUGGUCUGAGAGGACGAUCAGCCAGAGGGGGACUGCGACACGGCCCCCACUCCUACGGGAGGCAGCAGCAGGGAAUCUUGCGCAAUGGGCGAAAGCCUGACGCAGCGACACCGCGUGGGGGAAGAAGGUCUUCGGGCUGUAAACCCCUUUUCUGGGGGAAGAGUAAGGACGGUACCCCAGGAAUAAGCCCCGGCUAACUACGUGCCAGCAGCCGCGGUAAUACGUAGGGGGCGAGCGUUGUCCGGAUUUACUGGGCGUAAAGGGCGUGUAGGCGGUUCGGGAAGUCUUUGGUGAAAUCUCCCGGCUCAACUGGGAGGGGUCCAGAGAAACUCCCGAACUAGAGGGCAGUAGAGGAGAGUGGAAUUCCCGGUGUAGUGGUGAAAUGCGUAGAUAUCGGGAGGAACACCAGUGGCGAAAGCGGCUCUCUGGGCUGUACCUGACGCUGAGGCGCGAAAGCGUGGGGAGCAAACCGGAUUAGAUACCCGGGUAGUCCACGCCAUAAACGAUGGAUGCUGGGUAUGGGGGGUAUCGACCCCCUCCGUGCCGAAGCUAACGCGUUAAGCAUCCCGCCUGGGGACUACGGCCGCAAGGCUAAAACUCAAAGGAAUUGACGG